CUACUCGGAUAACUGUGGCAAUUCUAGAGCUAAUACGCGCAAGAAGGCUCGGACCUUUCGGGAAGAGCGCAUUUAUUAGACCAAAACCAAUCGAGCUUCGGCCUGAGCUUUGGUGACUCUGAAUAACUAAGUCGAUCGCACAGUCUUAGUACCGGCGACGCAUCUUUCAAAUGUCUGCCUUAUCAACUUUCGAUGGUAGUUUAUGCGCCUACCAUGGUUAUAACGGGUAACGGAGAAUAAGGGUUCGACUCCGGAGAGGGAGCCUGAGAAACGGCUACCACAUCCAAGGAAGGCAGCAGGCGCGCAAAUUACCCAAUCUCGGCACGAGGAGGUAGUGACGAAAAAAUAACGCCUUUAGUGGUCUAAGAGGGCCUGCCAUCGGAAUGGGUAC
rnacentral:rRNA from 1 species